AGUGAAUAGAUACCCGGGUAGUCCUAGCCGUAAACGAUACUCGCUAGGUGUCGGCCACGGUGCGACCGUUGUCGGUGCCGUAGGGAAAGCCGUGAAGCGAGCCACCUGGGGAGUACGGCCGCAAGGCUGAAACUUAAAGGAAUUGGCGGGGGAGCACCACAACGGGUGGAGCUUGCGGUUUAAUUGGAUUCAACGCCGGAAAUCUUACCGGGACCGACAGCAACAUGAAGGCCAGGCUGAAGACUUUGCCGGAUUAGCUGAGAGGUGGUGCAUGGCCGUCGUCAGUUCGUACUGUGAAAGCAUCCUGUUAAGUCAGGCAACGAGCGAGACCCACGCCCACAGUUGCCAGCGUACUCUCCGGAGUGACGGGUACACUGUGGGGACCGCCGCUGCUAAAGCGGAGGAAGGAAUGGGCAACGGUAGGUCAGUAUGCCCCGAAUAUCCCGGGCUACACGCGAGCUACAAUGGUUGGUACAAUGGGUAUCUACCCCGAAAGGGGACGGAAAUCUCCUAAAGCCAAUCUUAGUUCGGAUUGA
rnacentral:rRNA from 1 species